rnacentral:rRNA from 1 species
UGGCGGACGGGUGAGUAACGCGUGGGUAACCUGCCUCACACAGGGGGAUAACAGUUGGAAACGACCGCUAAUACCGCAUAACCCGCUGGUACCGCAUGGUACUGACGGAAAAGAUUUAUCGGUGUGAGAUGGACCCGCGUCUGAUUAGCCAGUUGGCAGGGUAACGGCCUACCAAAGCGACGAUCAGUAGCCGGCCUGAGAGGGUGAACGGCCACAUUGGGACUGAGACACGGCCCAAACUCCUACGGAAGGCAGCAG